GUGUUCACUUCAGCAGCCCAUAAACUAACACUAGAAUGAUACAGAAAGAUUAGCACAGCCCCUUUGCAAAAAUGACACUCAAACUGGUGAAAUGCUGACCCCCAUA
rnacentral:snRNA from 1 species